rnacentral:rRNA from 1 species
CCUACGGGGGGCAACAGUGAGGAAUAUUGGUCAAUGGGCGCGAGCCUGAACCAGCCAAGUCGCGUGAAGGAUGACUGCCCUAUGGGUUGUAAACUUCUUUUGUAAGGGAGUAAAGUGAGGCACGCGUGCCUUUCUGUAUGUACUUUAUGAAUAAGGAUCGGCUAACUCCGUGCCAGCAGCCGCGGUAAUACGGAGGAUCCGAGCGUUAUCCGGAUUUAUUGGGUUUAAAGGGAGCGUAGGGGGGUUGUUAAGUUAGUUGUGAAAGUUUGCGGCUCAACCGGAGAAUUGCAAUUGAUACUGGUAGCCGUGAGUGUAGUUGAGGUAGGCGGAAUGCGUGGUGUAGCGGUGAAAUGCUUAGAUAUCACGAAGAACGCCGAUUGCGAAGGCAGCUUACUAAACUGCCACUGACAUUGAGGCACGAAAGUGUGGGGAUCAAACAGGAUUAGAUACCCGUGUAGUC